rnacentral:rRNA from 1 species
CAGCCGUAAACAAUGUGCGUUAGGUAUGUCGGUAACCACGUGUUACUGAUGUGCCGAAGAGAAAUCGUGAAACGCACCUCCUGGGAAGUACGGUCGCAAGGCUGAAACUUAAAGGAAUUGGCGGGGGGAGGCACCACAACAGGUGGAGCCUGCGGUUUAAUUGGAUUCAACGCCGGACAUCUCACCGGAUAAGACAGCUGAAUGAUUGUCAAUCUGAAGGUUUUACAUGACUAGCUGAGAGGAGGUGCAUGGCGUCAGUGACU